rfam:Blastocystis hominis, Singapore isolate B (sub-type 7) whole genome shotgun sequence assembly, scaffold_32
AUCUUUUUAGUCUACUGGUUAGGACAUUACCCUUUCACGGUAUUGGAGCAAGUUCGAUUCUUGCAAGAGAUG